rnacentral:rRNA from 1 species
AGGACGAACGCUAGCGGCGUGUUUGAAACAUGCAAGUCGAACGGGAAGAGCAAUCUUUUAGUGGCGAACGGGUGCGUAACACGUAAAGAACCUAUCCAACAGUGGGGGAUAGCCUCUGGAAACGGGGGGUAAUACCGCAUACGGUAUAGAGCAGGCAUCUGCUUUAUAGGAAAGGGAUACGAAAGUAUUUCACUGAUGGAGGGCUUUGCGGCCUAUCAGGUAGUUGGUGGGGUAACGGCCUACCAAGCCAAAGACGGGUAGCUGGUCUGAGAGGACGAUCAGCCACACUGGGACUGAGAUACGGCCCAGACUCCUACGGGGGGCAGCAGUUUAGAAUAUUGUGCAAUGGGCGAAAGCCUGACACAGCGACGCCGCGUGGGUGAUGAAGGCCUUAGGGUCGUAAAGCCCUGUUGGUAGGGAAGAGCAAGGACGGUACCUACCGAGGAAGCCCGGCUAACUACGUGCCAGCAGCCGC